AUUGAACGUUGGCGGCAGGCCUAACACAUGCAAGUCGAACGGUAACAGGAAACAGCUUGCUGUUUCGCUGACGAGUGGCGGACGGGUGAGUAAUGUCUGGGAAACUGCCUGAUGGAGGGGGAUAACUACUGGAAACGGUAGCUAAUACCGCAUAACGUCGCAAGACCAAAGAGGGGGACCCUCGGGCCUCUUGCCAUCGGAUGUGCCCAGAUGGGAUUAGCUUGUUGGUGGGGUAACGGCUCACCAAGGCGACGAUCCCUAGCUGGUCUGAGAGGAUGACCAGCCACACUGGAACUGAGACACGGUCCAGACCCCUACGGGAGGCAGCAGUGGGGAAUAUUGCACAAUGGGCGCAAGCCUGAUGCAGCCAUGCCGCGUGUAUGAAGAAGGCCUUCGGGUUGUAAAGUACUUUCAGCGGGGAGGAAGGGAGUAAAGUUAAUACCUUUGCUCAUUGACGUUACCCGCAGAAGAAGCACCGGCUAACUCCGUG
rnacentral:rRNA from 1 species